UACCAGCACCCCGAGUGGUCGGGACGAUUAUUGGGCCUAAAGCAUCCGUAGCCGGUCAUGCAAGUCCUCCGUUAAAUCCAGCCGCUCAACGGUUGGGCUGCGGAGGAUACUACGUGGCUAGGAGGCGGGAGAGGCAAGCGGUACUCAGUGGGUAGGGGUAAAAUCCUUUGAUCCAUUGAAGACCACCAGUGGCGAAGGCGGCUUGCCAGAACGCGCUCGACGGUGAGGGAUGAAAGCUGGGGGAGCAAAGCCGG
rnacentral:rRNA from 1 species